CUGCACUUUAUGAAGCUUUUAGUUAAACUCUGCUGGGCUCGUCAUCAACCGGAACCGGAACACGUAACAUUUUUCAUCACUGGGCGCCAUCUAGUGGACAACCCGAAAGCUACAACAACAUAAGGGGGGGAAACAUGAUGGGAGUAUGACGGCUGCCACACGGCUGAUAUCAAGGUUGACGCUGGUCACUGGAGGAGGCAGUGGGAUCGGACGGGCGGUAUGUCAGCGUUUGGCCUCUGAGGGCGCCUCCGUGGUGGUGGCAGACAUCAGCGAGGAGUCUGCCAA